rnacentral:rRNA from 1 species
GAUGAACGCUGGCGGCGUGCCUAAUACAUGCAAGUCGAGCGAACGGACGAGGAGCUUGCUUCUCUUACGUUAGCGGCGGACGGGUGAGUAACACGUGGAUAACCUACCUAUAAGACUGGGAUAACUUCGGGAAACCGGAGCUAAUACCGGAUAAUAUCUUGAACCGCAUGGUUCAAUAGUGAAAGACGGUCUUGCUGUCACUUAUAGAUGGAUCCGCGCUGCAUUAGCUAGUUGGUAAGGUAACGGCUUACCAAGGCAACGAUGCGUAGCCGACCUGAGAGGGUGAUCGGCCACACUGGAACGGAGACAGGGUCCAGACUCCUACGGGAGGCAGCAGUAGGGAAUCUUCCGCAAUGGGCGAAAGCCUGACGGAGCAACGCCGCGUGAGUGAUGAAGGUCUUCGGAUCGUAAAACUCUGUUAUUAGGGAAGAACAUAUGUGUAAGUAACUGUGCACAUCUUGACGGUACCUAAUCAGAAAGCCACGGCUAACUACGUG